GACGAACGCUGGCGGCGCGCCUAACACAUGCAAGUCGAACGAGCGAGAGAGAGCUUGCUUUCUCAAGCGAGUGGCGAACGGGUGAGUAACGCGUGAGGAACCUGCCUCAAAGAGGGGGACAACAGUUGGAAACGACUGCUAAUACCGCAUAAGCCCACGACCCGGCAUCGGGUAGAGGGAAAAGGAGCAAUCCGCUUUGAGAUGGCCUCGCGUCCGAUUAGCUAGUUGGUGAGGUAACGGCCCACCAAGGCGACGAUCGGUAGCCGGACUGAGAGGUUGAACGGCCACAUUGGGACUGAGACACGGCCCAGACUCCUACGGGAGGCAGCAGUGGGGAAUAUUGCACAAUGGGGGAAACCCUGAUGCAGCGACGCCGCGGGGAGGAAGAAGGUCUUCGGAUUGUAAACUCCUGUUGUUGAGGAAGAUAAUGACGGUACUCAACAAGGAAGUGACGGCUAACUACGU
rnacentral:rRNA from 1 species